rnacentral:tRNA from 1 species
GGACGCGUAGCUCAGUUGGAUAGAGCGCUGCCCUCCGGAGGCAGAAGUCGCUCCGGAGGCAGAAGUCGCAGGUUCGAAUCCUGCCGCGUCCG